GUUAUCACUUGAUGAAUCAUCAAUACUGCAUCUAUUGUCGCUGGGAAUCUGGAUGUAAACAUUACCUUUGUCAUGAUGUCCAGAACUAAUCUGAGUGGAUAAAUUGCUACUUUGAGUCUGUCCAGGACCUUGAUCAUCUAAACCAGUUUUCUUUUGAGAUUUUUGCUUCUUUACAGUCUGCUGAGAAGGGAACUUUGGAAUGUGCGGGUGACUUCCUAAGGUUGGCAUGGAAGAAUGAUGUGGUGGAGGAACUUUCCCACCCUCAGCAAGUGCAGCGUAGUAGCGGGCUAAGGCACGAGCUGAGCAAUGGCCAUUCGCAGCAGGUAUAAUAGCACGGCGAGCAUAGAGUGAGUUAAAUAUUGCAGGUAAAGUAGUUGCAAGUUGAGCCAUCUGCUGUGGCUGGAAGGUGGUUGGAAGAUCUGAACGGUUGCCGACAUUUGAC
rnacentral:misc_RNA from 1 species